rnacentral:rRNA from 1 species
UACGGAGGGGGCUAGCGUUGUUCGGAAUUACUGGGCGUAAAGCGCACGUAGGCGGCUUUGCAAGUUAGAGGUGAAAGCCCGGAGCUCAACUCCGGGUCGGCCGUCGAGACUCCUCGGCUCGAGCUCACUAGAGGCAGAUGGAAUUCCGGGUGUAGCGGUGGAAUGCGUAGAGAUCCGGAAGAACACCGGUGGCGAAGGCGGUCUGCUGGGGUGAGGCUGACGCUGAUGCGCGACAGCGUGGGGAGCAAACAGG